rnacentral:lncRNA from 1 species
UAGGGCUUUGUCUCAAUGAAAAUGGCACUUGCUUGCUUGAUUGACUGAUUCUCCUGAUCAGUUUGACCUGAUUCAUCAACUGAGCUUGCACUUGGGCACAUGGACAAUGCAAUGUUAUGCAGUGGACAUUGUUAAUGCUAUGACAUAAUAUGCAAUGAAUGUACACAAUGGUAGGGUGCAAAUUUGAGGUGCUACAGCUGCCCCUAUUCAAUCAACUAGGAACCCGAAUGGAUGAGAGCAACGGCUGU